rnacentral:rRNA from 1 species
UGGGGAAUUUUGGACAAUGGGCGAAAGCCUGAUCCAGCAAUGCCGCGUGUGUGAAGAAGGCCUUCGGGUUGUAAAGCACUUUUGUCCGGAAAGAAAUCCUUGGCUCUAAUACAGUCGGGGGAUGACGGUACCGGAAGAAUAAGCACCGGCUAACUACGUGCCAGCAGCCGCGGUAAUACGUAGGGUGCAAGCGUUAAUCGGAAUUACUGGGCGUAGAGCGUGCGCAGGCGGUUUGCUAAGACCGAUGUGAAAUCCCCGGGCUCAACCUGGGAACUGCAUUGGUGACUGGCAGGCUAGAGUAUGGCAGAGGGGGGUAGAAUUCCACGUGUAGCAGUGAAAUGCGUAGAGAUGUGGAGGAAUACCGAUGGCGAAGGCAGCCCCCUGGGCCAAUACUGACGCUCAUGCACGAAAGCGUGGGGGAGCAAACAGGAUUAGAUACCCUGGUAGUCCACGCCCUAAACGAUGUCAACUAGUUGUUGGGGAUUCAUUUCCUUAGUAACGUAGCUAACGCGUGAAGUUGACCGCCUGGGGAGUACGGUCGCAAGAUU